UACGUAGGGUGCAAGCGUUGUCCGGAAUUAUUGGGCGUAAAGAGCUCGUAGGCGGUCUGUCGCGUCUGCUGUGAAAACUCAGGGCUUAACCCUGAGCUUGCAGUGGGUACGGGCAGACUAGAGUGCGGUAGGGGAGACUGGAAUUCCUGGUGUAGCGGUGAAAUGCGCAGAUAUCGGGAGGAACGCCGGUGGCGAAGGCGGUUCUCUGGGCCGUAACUGACGCUGAGGAGCGAAAGCGUGGGAGCGAACAGG
rnacentral:rRNA from 1 species